AGUAGUACCCUGCUCUGAACUUAGUCACCGUCACUAACCAGCUAUCACCCAGUACCCUGCCCUGAUGACGGAGCGAGACGGUGCGCUAGUCAAACAGUCAUGCGUUUGUCUUGUAUUUUUAGCACAGCACUGACCCAACAUGAACUGUAGUUAGACUCUCUAGUCAUGUGUUUGUCUUAAUUAUUUAAAUCAAACCGUGUCCUUAAAGCAUCAGACAUGCUCUGUAUAUAUAGUGGAUGUGAUUAAAACACAAAAAAUACAACUUCCUGACUGUGAGGUAGACAACAUGGGCUCCUAAAACAACGUCCUGACUGUGAGGUAGACAACAUGGGCUCCUAAAACAACGUCCUGACUGUGAGGUAGACAACAUGGGCUCCUAAAACAACUUCCUGACUGUGAGGUAGACAACAUGGGCUCCUAAAACAACUUCCUGACUGAGGUAGACAACAUGGGCUCCUAAAACAACUUCCUGACUGAGGUAGACAACAUGGGCUCCUAAAACAACUUCCUGACUGAGGUAGACAACAUGGGCUCCUAAAACAACUUCCUGACUGAGGUAGACAACAUGGGCUCCUAAAACAACUUCCUGACUGUGAGGUAGACAACAUGGGCUCCUAAAACAACUUCCUGACUGUGAGGUAGACAACAUGGGCUCCUAAAACAACUUCCUGACUGUGAGGUAGACAACAUGGGCUCCUAAAACAACUUCCUGACUGAGGUAGACAACAUGGGCUCCUAAAACAACUUCCUGACUGUGAGGUAGACAACAUGGGCUCCUAAAACAACUUCCUGACUGUGAGGUAGACAACAUGGGCUCCUAAAACAACUUCCUGACUGUGAGGUAGACAACAUGGGCUCCUAAAACAACUUCCUGACUGUGAGGUAGACAACAUGGGCUCCUAAAACAACUUCCUGACUGUGAGGUAGACAACAUGGGCUCCUAAAACAACGUCCUGACUGAGGUAGACAACAUGGGCUCCUAAAACAACGUCCUGACUGAGGUAGACAACAUGGGCUCCUAAAACAACUUCCUGACUGUGAGGUAGACAACAUGGGCUCCUAAAACAACGUCCUGACUGAGGUAGACAACAUGGGCUCCUAAAACAACGUCCUGACUGAGGUAGACAACAUGGGCUCCUAAAACAACUUCCUGACUGUGAGGUAGACAACAUGGGCUCCUAAAACAACUUCCUGACUGAGGUAGACAACAUGGGCUCCUAAAACAACUUCCUGACUGAGAUCCAUGAAGAAGACAAGCAAGACAUGUGUUGUGUUCACACCAGAGAUGUAGUCACGACCAGACAGCGUCCUGGUUCCCUCUCUGGAUCACACACACACACACACACACACACACACACACACACACACACACACACACACACACACCAGAGAU